UACGUAGGGUGCGAGCGUUGUCCGGAUUUAUUGGGCGUAAAGAGCUCGUAGGCGGUUUGUCGCGUCGGCCGUGAAAUCUCCACGCUUAACGUGGAGCGUGCGGUCGAUACGGGCAGACUUGAGUUCGGUAGGGGAGACUGGAAUUCCUGGUGUAGCGGUGAAAUGCGCAGAUAUCAGGAGGAACACCGGUGGCGAAGGCGGCUUUCUGGCCCGUUCUUGACGCUGAGGCGCGAAAGCUAGGGUAGCAAACGGG
rnacentral:rRNA from 1 species